AAACCGUUGAAAGGGAAGCGAAUGGAGUUAGCAAUUCGCCCUGCCAGAUUCAGUUGCUCGUGCGUCGCGACGCACGCGCUCUCGAUCCGCAUGGACGAGACGUGUGCGGGUGCGACGCGCGGUCGGCGCACUUCUGGCGAGCGAGCGUCAGCGUCGGUUGUCGACGGGCGAUAAGGACACGAGGAAGGUAGACCGGCCUCAACCGCCGGUUGUUAAGCCUUGUGCUCGCAUAGCUCGACGGCGACCGUGGCUCGGCGACGCGUGCCUGGCUGGCGACUCGAACGAUCGGUCCGGCAUGUCGACCGUGGCGGACGGCACGCCUGUGCGCUCAAACUGCUGCCGGUCGAUCGGACGAUGUUCGCACACUACGCGUCGAAGAUGCUGACGGCCAUACGGCUCCAUCCGACCCGUCUUGAAACACGGACCAAGGAGUCUAACAUGUGCGCGAGUCUCCGGGUGAUCGAAACCCGUGGGCACAAUGAAAGUAAAGAUCGUCCUAGACGAUUGAGGUGAGAAGCAAAUACCUCGGUAUUUGCGGCAUCAUCGACCGACCUAUUCUGCUCUCAGAAAGGUUUGAGUAAGAGCGUAUCUGUUGGGACCCGAAAGAUGGUGAACUAUGCCUGAAUAGGGUGAAGCCAGCGGAAACACUGG
rnacentral:rRNA from 1 species